GGAGACUCUCCCAGAUUAUCUGAUGGACCUCACGUAAUCACAGUUGUCCUUCAAGAGAAAUGACGGAGUCACCAAGUGAGAGGAGAUGGCAGUGUGGCGACAGAAGCAGUGACUGGACUGACAUGCUUUGAAGGAAGACGCAGUGUUCCUUUCCUCCGGAGGAUGCUGCAAUAAGACAACGCUGUGGAAGCCAAGACUGAGCCCUCAUCAGACACU
rnacentral:lncRNA from 1 species